rnacentral:tRNA from 1 species
AAGGUUCUAGCUUAAUUAAAGCAUCUGGGUUGCAUUCAGAAGAUGUGGGUUAAUAUCCUACGAAUCUUA